AAAGAACUUCAACUACGACAGUAUAGUGACUUUCCACUUGUAUUAUUUUUGGAAAAUAUAAUCAAAACUCGUUUUGAUGCUGAAAAGUUUUGCCGGCAUCACGGACUGCUUUUUGAGGUUGACGCUUCGGUGUUAGAAAUCAUGAAAAUAGAUUGGGCAGCAAACGAUCAAAUUUGGGCACCAAUAAUAAACAUGACAAAUACUACAUACUGGCCCGACUGCUAUGUAUUCAAAAAGGUUGGAAAAUCAAUUGUUACGGAAAAGAAAAGAUGCAACGAAAAGAACUUUUUCGUUUGCACAUUGCCUGAGAUAUGUCAUGACACCUUUUGCAACACAAUGAAGAAUUCGACAUUCAAAACU